rnacentral:sRNA from 1 species
UGCAGCCCCAAUCGGGCGGU